GUGGAUUAGAUACCCUGGUAGUCCACGCCCUAAACGAUGUCAACUAGGUGUUGGGGGAGGAGACUUCCUUAGUACCGCAGCUAACGCGUGAAGUUGACCGCCUGGGGAGUACGGUCGCAAGAUUAAAACUCAAAGGAAUUGACGGGGACCCGCACAAGCGGUGGAUUAUGUGGAUUAAUUCGAUGCAACGCGAAAAACCUUACCUACCCUUGACAUGCCAGGAACUUGCCAGAGAUGGCUUGGUGCCCGAAAGGGAGCCUGGACACAGGUGCUGCACGGCCGUCGUCAACU
rnacentral:rRNA from 1 species